rnacentral:rRNA from 1 species
UUGAAAAGAAACUUUNGANAGAGAGUUCAAUAGUACGUGAAACCGUUUAGAGGUAAACGCGUAGAGUCGUAAAGUGGUCCGGGAAGAUUCAACCGUUCGAGCCUUGGCUUUGGCGGGGUGGCCCAUCGGAUGCUCAUUCGCACCGGCCCCGUCAAUCGCUGGCCUUGGUCGAUCGGCGCACUUUUUCCCGGGCAGCGUCACGACCGAUUCGCCGACGGUCAUAAGCUUUGUCGGAAGGUAUCUCGCGCCUCGGCGGGAGAGUUAUAGCCGGCGACAGCGUCGUCCGUUGGCGGAUCGAGGAAUGGCCGCACCCGCUUCUCUAAGCACGGGCCCCUGUUCCCCGUACGCCGUUCGACCUGGGCUGGACUGUAUACAGUGCUGUCCGACUGCGGUGUGCGUCGCGAUUCAGGUGCGCUCCCGAGUGGUGCAAAAGGUCGGUGGCGAUAUGGUCGGCAAUCUACGCGACCC